UUCGGGUCUAGCGGCGGACGGGUGAGUAACGCGUGGGAACGUGCCCUUCUCUACGGAAUAGCCCCGGGAAACUGGGAGUAAUACCGUAUACGCCCUUUGGGGGAAAGAUUUAUCGGAGAAGGAUCGGCCCGCGUUGGAUUAGGUAGUUGGUGGGGUAAUGGCCCACCAAGCCGACGAUCCAUAGCUGGUUUGAGAGGAUGAUCAGCCACACUGGGACUGAGACACGGCCCAGACUCCUACGGGAGGCAGCAGUGGGGAAUCUUAGACAAUGGGGGCAACCCUGAUCUAGCCAUGCCGCGUGAGUGAUGAAGGCCUUAGGGUUGUAAAGCUCUUUCAGCUGGGAAGAUAAUGACGGUACCAGCAGAAGAAGCCCCGGCUAACUCCGUGCCAGCAGCCGCGGUAAUACGGAGGGGGCUAGCGUUGUUCGGAAUUACUGGGCGU
rnacentral:rRNA from 1 species